GGCAGUUGAGAUUCAGACCUUGACAGUUGUAACCGAUAGACUGGGCUGGGGCAACGCUGAUGAAAGGCAAAUUCCUGAGAGAAAAAUCACCCAGACUUUCUAGAAGUUGUUAUGAGUGGACCUGACUACCUAGAGAGAGUAAUACAGAAGCUCCGUGCCGAUCACAGCUACCUCAUUACCAUGUUCCUCCAAGAUGGCCGCCCCUGAGGAGAAUCAUCAACUGGGCUUUACGGAAGAGAGAAAUCCAAACGACCAUCAGCAACAAAUGAAAGACUGAAGUUGAAAGGAAAUCCAUAAUUUUUGAAUGCUGGCCGAGGUCUGUGACCUCUGACUGAAUGGUUUCCAAGCUCCGAAUUCCUAGGUGAUGUUUUCAUUUGUUCACACUUGCUGAAGAAGGGAAAGGCUCUCUGAUUUACGUGUAAGCAAAACAAUCUAAACAGUAGGAUAAAAUCAUGUUGGAAUGGAGUUCUGUGUGGAUGCUCCUUUGAACCAAAUCAGUUCCACAACUGACCCUGUCAGGGACAUAUAAAUUUAGCAUUUUGGUGUGGAUACAGAAGACGAGAUUAACACAGAUCAAGUAACAUGGAAAUAAAAAAGGAGACAAUGCUGGAUGAUACAGGGGCAGCCAACAAGAGGAGAAAACCCAAGCAUUGGCAAAUGCCUCAUUAUCCAAAGAACACUCCUUAUACUCCUGAGAAUUUGUGGCAGUCCUGGGUUAAACGAUGAAGGCUUCUUAUUCUCAUGUAGGUCUCACAGCCUCUUGUCUCCCUGAGUUUUAAACACAUUGCAUUACCUUUCCAGAGGAGGUGUGGAGCAAAACUGUGUUGAAUGAACUGUAGAUGGAAAUUCUCUCCUUCCCACCGAGGAGCCGCUGCAGGUUGCAGACUCCCAGAAUGCCACACUGAGAAGAGGAGGGCUAAAAUUCUAGAGCAGAAUCCCUGGGGCAGCCCCUGCUGAAGAAGGGUGCAUCUGUUGAGAAUCUCAUCACCGCCCCCACCCCGCCCAGCCUUCAAUUUAGAGGAAUUUCUAGUUCACGCAGAAUGAAGACAAGAUCACAUAAGUGAGGACGACGCCCCAUUUACAAGUGUGAUUUGGAAGACUGAAGUGGAAACCUUGGGAAGGGGCCUCAGAGUAUGUCAGCUGGGGUCAGACGGGAACAGGAGUCUGGCUCAACACACAUUUAUUGCACUCCUGUUUCAUGCCAAGAAAUGUACCAAAAUCUGGGACUGUGUAACACAGCAAAGGAAAAGACUCAUCUCCAGGAAGCCCCCUUGUCUAGGAAGAGAAAUUGAAUAUCAGCAUAAGGUGGUGAAAAGCUGUGAAGGAGAUGAGUGCCAGGAGUCCAUGGAGGAAGGAUUCUAGCCUGGACAGAGUCUCCAUGAAUUGCAAGGGAAAACAAGUGGUACACUGGUAUUUCUAUUUGAUAACCUGUUCUCUUUGGAAUUCCGGUUAGAAAUCAAAGGCUUACUUGAGUUUUAAUGCUUUCGGGACUUCAAAUGCUUUUCUAUCUUCCUAAUAAUAUAUUAACAUUUUCUGAAGACAACAUAUAUGUGGAAAACAACAUUAUUUACUCAAAUAAUUUUUUUUGAAAAAUGGACCAAAAAAAAAGAAAAA
rnacentral:lncRNA from 1 species